rnacentral:lncRNA from 1 species
CGCUGCUCCUGCCGGGGCUGCUGGGGGUGUCCGUCUGUCCUGACGGCACCCCCUGCCCCCCCAGUACGCCUGCUACGCCAUCGGCAAGGACGUGCAGGCGAUGAAGGCGGUGGUCGGGGAGGAGGCGCUGUCGGCCGACGAUUUGCUGUACCUGGAGUUCCUGCAGAAGUUCGAGAAGCAGUUCAUCACCCAGGGUACGGCUGCGUGGGAUGGCACAGGACGGGAUGGGGCAGAGCCCGGCGCUGCCCACCCCCUUGCACUGCCCUCCCUGCUUCUCCCCCAGGCCCCUACGAGAACCGGAGCAUCUUCGAGUCGCUGGACAUCGGCUGGCAGCUGCUGCGCAUCUUCCCCAAGCAGCUGCUGAAGCGCAUCCCCGAGCCCAUCCUGGCCGAGUAUUACCCCCGUGAGGCCAAGGCUGGGGGCCAGCAGGCGACCAGCACGGCGCUGUGAGCUGCUGCUGCCCAAAAACUUCCCGUUUCCAACCCAAACGAGAAGGAAAUUGCCAGAAACCUCCGUCCCGUGCGCAAUAAAGCAGUGUGAUCUCCAACCUAAGCUGUGCGCUCCUCCUUCCCAACCAGGCUCCGAGCUCGCCCUGCCCCGUUCCUCCCCAUGGCACUGCCCCAUGGCAUCCUGGCGCUGCUGUCCCACCUUGUGCCCCCCCCCCAGGAACGAGGGCCAGACCCUGCCCCCCGCUGCGGCUCCCCCCGGCCAGCCCCACGGGCUCCAGGGGCCCCCCCGGCCCGGCUCUGUGCUCGGCUGCAGAAACUGCCUGGGCGUCUCGCUAAACUACAGCUCCUUUUCUUUUUUUGGGAGGACCCAGGAGGUUUAAAGCCCCCGCAAAGGUGUUUUUGUUUCAUUUUUGCACCAAAAAGGCUCAGCCCCGAGGGAAAUGGGACUUGCAGCUGGGGCAGAGCGAGUUUCGGUUCCCACUCCCCUUCUGCAGCAGCGCGUCCCCCCGGCACCUUCCCGCUGCACAAAGCCCUUUGGCCGGGGGUCCCGCCAUGCCCCCCACCACCUCCCCCCCGAACCGGCACCCCCAGGGCUGCAGCAGCAGCAGGAAAAUCCCCGUGGGGAUGGGGGUGCUCGGCCCCGAGCUGCUGCUGCACGCCCAGGGGCAGCUGCUGAGCCUUGCAGCGGGGUUUCACUUCCCUGCGGCGAGCGGACGAGCGCCGGGGAGCCGGGAGCAGGCGGCCACGGGACCGGGGGGCUCCGGGGGGCUCCGGGGGGCACCGGCACUGCUGCUGCCAUGGAUUGGGCUGGGGAAAGCACCCAGCUGGCAGCCAUCGUGGAGUCAGAGGGCAGCGAGGAGGAGGAGGAGGAGGAGGAGAAGGACGAGGAGGAAGAUGAGGAGGAGGAGGAGGAGGAGGCAGCCAUGGUCCAGACCCUCUCCGAGGACGACGAAGCGAGAGCGUGGCUGGACGACUUCCAGCAGGCCUCACAGGCGCUGCUGGCCGAGCUCUCGGCGCUGGAGGCAGAGUGUGAGAUCCAGAGGACGUGUCGCCAACAAGCCGAGGCGUACGCGGCACAGGUAGGGACCCCCCCGCACCCCCCCCGCCCUCAUUUUUUUGGGGUGGUUUCAGGGAAUUUGGGCAGUAUUGUGGGCACAGCUCCUGCCCAAGCUGUGUCCCCGCCGUGCCCAAAGCCGGGCGCUGCCUGGUGGUGCCAUGGGGGGGGUCACGUCCCCCCGGGGGUGUCAGCAGCAGUUCCGUGCGCAAAAACUUCAAUUUUCGCCCCAGGAAUGGGGCUGGAAUUGGCAUUUUUGGUGUGCAUGGAGACAAAUGAGAAAAAGAGGCAAAUUUCCACCAUUUUCACUAAUUUUUCCUGCAAUGGGAGAAACUCUCUCCGUUCCGUGCCCCCUGCAGCCACGCACCUGGGGGGGGGGUUGGGAUUUCCCAGUGGGGUCAGGACCCUGCUGGUGCCCUCCCAGCCCUGGGGACCCCCGGGGGCAGCCCCCGGCAGGGCUCCAGCAGCGACCCCCCCGGCCCCCCCCCCCAGGUGCAGAAGGAGAACACGAAGCUGAAGCGGCUCAGCCUGGCCCUGCCGCCCGGCACCGGGGCCGGGGACGUGGCCGGGGAGGGGGACCCCAGCCCCGACCCUACCCAGGAGGAGCUCAAGGGUGAGUUUUUGCCCCUAUUUCCGCACGAAUUUCGGUGAAUUCUGCCCCCAGCUGCGCUCGCUCCCGCUGCCGUUCCCCCGUAGCGGUGGUCACUAAAUCAGCUAAUUAGCUAAUUAAUUAAUUAAUCCCAGCGGCUCUCCUGGCUCCGGGAAACGCUGGGACAGGGGAGAAAGGCGAAAUGAAAACGCCGCAGCCCCACUUCCCCCUGCCCUCUUCUCUUUUCCCCACGCUCACGAUUUCGGUUUUGUUUGUGGCCUGGGGGAGGAGGGGGCUGCUGGCCCCUUGGCCACCCC